UCCUCGUACACAAGUGGAAGCGGGUCUCGCGCCGCGUAGAGUCGUUUCUCGAGAGCCUUGGUUGUCAUAUCUGACGAGAAUUAAAAGAUUGCACUGAGAAAACAUACAUAAUUAUCUGUUUUGCUCAACAAAAAUACUUGGGACAGAAUGUUCCGCGCUUGAAGAUGGAUAUGACCUUCUGCUCUGAGAAAACGGACCUCGGACCAUUCAGUUUGUGGAGUUUUUUUGGUAGUUUUCUCAGUUAUAAACUACAGGUGAUCCGGACGCGUUCAGAUUCCAGGAUCUUCUCAGAAAAAACACAAACCUCUCUGAGUCAUGCUGUCUCCCAUGUAUGCAGACAGCUCAGUCAUCAUGGAGAGAGCGCCGCCCUUGCGGAAAGGAGGGAGAGUGCAACCUCAGGGCCACAGACUGCGCUCUCAUCCUCCCACCAGCGGAAGCAGUGUUUGUGCCAACCCCACCUACUUUCAUACUGUGUAUGACAUGAAUGAUGAAGCAAGCCCAGUUGACUCGUUUGACUAUAGCAAAACCAAUGGAGGGGAAACCGUAGUGACGGAUGGGACGCUUUACUCUUUGAUGCCCAGUGACUCUCUGGUUCCUCCUAUCAGACGGAGAGGAGGCCUAGUUGACCACCGUGAUGUCAUCAAGGCACACCAAUCCCAUAAACUGCAGAGCACUCCACAGGCACAACGGAAACAAUGGGAGGCAGGUCAUGUUGGUGUGUUUGUGGAGAGUGUGUGUAUGGUAUGGACACACUGAAGGACACCGUGAUGACCCCUGCUUCACUUGGACCCUGUGUGUGCAGUUGUGUCUGAAAGCAGUCUCUGGUGUGUAGAAAAAUAUGGCGUGUGUUUUUAUGUGUUUGCGUCACGGUGGGACCAAGUGAACAGUGAAUGUAGAGUGGCAGUGGAAUCAAGUCACGAUUUCUGUUGCACUUUAGGGGUGUGGAGGCUUCCACUCUCAUCGCUCACCCACUCAAUCUGGCAGCCGUAGCAGCGGGGAGACGCGAGAUAACAGGAGCAGGAAAAAACGAACGCUCAGCACACUGGCUAGAUGCAUGGAUGGAUGGAAAAAAGGAAGGAUGGAGGGAAGAGGGAUGGAGAAAUGGAUGGAGGGAUCGAUGGGCUGACGUGGACGCAGUGCUCUUGGCCAGACUCAUUCACCAUCUCUCCUGCUUACUCAUAACUUCCCAUCCACCUCUGAUCACACCUCCUGCUUUUAAAAUCAUUUCCUGCCAGUAAUAUGCUCUUUUCAUUUUCUCUCUUUUAGUCUGCAGUGCUGUCUAUUCUUUUGAACCACAUGAAUCGUCAGCAUUUACGUCAUUUACUUUGAAUAUGAUUCAUUUAUUCUGGUUAAAAAUCUACUAGUCCAUAAUGAAAUAAUAGCUAUAUUUUAAAAUAUAUAAACAAAAUAUGUAAUAUAUAAUAAAAAUAUAUAUAAAAAAACUGAAAUGAUGCAAAUUUUAAACCUAUAAAUAUCAAAAGAAAAAUGCUUUUUAGCUCCAGAUGGUGUAUAUACGACAUCUGGCAGCAGUGCCUGGUUAACUAACCAUAUCUUGACCUCCUAGUUUUUGCUUAAAUCUUUCACCCUCUUCUGUCAAAGAGUUGUCACACUCAGAUUAGGAAUUAAAAGAGUAUGAUGGAUUGAACGACUCUGCAUUCAUGUUCACACCUCCUAUGUUAUUUUUCUCCCGUUCCCUGUUGUGGAUUGCAGUGGCCCAUUUUGGCAGCAUAUCAGUGCCAGUCUCAGCGCAAAUGCCAUAUAAACAUUAUUGUUAAAGUGAUAGAUCACCCUAAAAUGAAAAUCAUUUACUCACCCUCAUGUCAUUGCAGACCCCUUUGUGUUUCUUUCUUCUAUGAAACACAAGGAAGAUAUUUUGAAGAAUGUUGGUAACCAACUGGGUCCUCCAUAGUAUUUUUUUGUAUUUACAAUAAUACUAAGGAAUUCAAUGGAACCUAAAGCUGUCAAAAUAUCUUCCUUGUGUUCUACAGAGGAAAGUCAUACAGGUUUGGAACAACCAGCAAACAGCAUACGCUGUUCUGU